rnacentral:lncRNA from 1 species
UAAUUUUAAGUGGCUGUGGACUUCCUGAUAGGAAAGACCAUCUGGACUAGUUAGAAGCUUCUGGUCUAAUGGUCUCUGAUUGGUCGUUUUACGGUUUUAUCCAAAGUUGUCCUCACUUCUUCUGAUCGAAGGAUCUUGCCUUUCUCCCCUCUCCCUGUGCAUCUAUCCCUCUCUCCCUGUCUCCCUCCAUGAUCAGUGGGAAACACAUUGAGCUAGACAGAAGCCCAAAGAUGAGGCUGGGGGUCACAACCAGCAAGGCCCUCCCCUCUCUCCUUUUCUCACCUCCUCAAGUCGUGAGAGGAAGACUCUGAAGGCAGAAGGAGGCAAAGGAGGCAAAGAGGUAGGAGCCAGGAGACCAGGCUUGCUGUGUGACCUCAGGCAAGUGGCCCUCCCUCUCUGGGCCCAUUUCCCCACCCCACCCUAGAGGGGUCUCUGAGGGGCUCAGACCAGAUGCAGUAUGGCCUGUGGUGUGAACCUCACUGAGCCUCCUUCGCCAUAUCCCUGGCUUCCCCUCCUAGGUCCCAUGGGCCUAAGGAUGCAGCCAAGGGUGGCUUACCGGCUUGAGGGGGUCCGGCAGGGGCACCAUGGAGAGAAAGUCUGAGACGAACUGGGCACAGCUGUCCCAGUUGUAGAGCUCAGGGUAGGGCAUCAGUGUGGGUCGGAUGGUUGUGCUCACGAACUUCUGCAAGGGGAGAGACCACAGACCCCCGGAGGGCUUUCUACCUGGGGGUUGGUGGGGGGAGGCCAGCACUCCCAGCAAGCCAGAGCCCUGGGUGGGGAGGCUCUCUAGGCCUCUGCCCCUCCAGCCCAGAUGCCAAAUAAGCUUGUGCUCUGCUGAGUGCUGCCAGACCAGGCACCACCUCCCGAUCCCCCAGCAACCCUGUAAGUCAGGCCCAGUGGCAGAUGGGGAAACUGAGGCUCUGAGAGGUGAGCUGACUUGUUCAGGUUCACAGUCAGUAGCAGAUCUGGCCUGUCUGGCUCUUGACCACCACCCAGUGCGAGGGAGCUAGUGCUACCCCUUUGAGGGGCUGCUGUCACCCCAGGGCCCAUGGCCCAGUCCUCCGUGGUCUCCCUGCAGAUUCGAAGAAGGCCCGCCAGCAUAGGAUGUCACAUGGCCCCACCCGUGCAGGCCCGCUGAUUGCUCCAGGGGAAAUGCACACCUGGGGUUACCAGAUCAAGAGAAGCGGGAGCUGGGACCCGUAUGGGAAUCACUGAGUUUCAAAUGCUGGCAGCUAAUACCAAUGUUAAAAAUUACCAUGUGGACCAAAUAAAACAGUCUGUGGGUCCCUAUCAGCCUGUGAGCUGCUGUUUUGCAACCUUUGCAUUCAUCCUAUGCCAUUCCACCUAGAGAUGGGGGAAACUGAGGCCCAGAGACACUCAGGACGUGCUUGGGUUACAGGGCUGGAGGGAAGGAGGCCAGGGCUUGGGUCCCAGUCUAUCUCCUCUUAUUUCUCUGCCCUUCCCUGGACAGAGCUGGGGUCCGGGGCUGGAGACUGCACCAGGUGUCUAGCUGUCCUGUAGCUGGCGUGGGGUCUCCAGGCCCCCAAAGGCCCCCAGGGGUGAUUCACAUCGACUCUGCUGAGGUCUGCUGGCAUUUGGAUUUAUGCUAUCCCCGGAUAUAAACUCUGACCCAUGAGCUUUGGCCCACCUCCCUCCACCCUCUGCUCUCCAGCCCUUGCCCUACCCUCCACGACCCGGCCUUACGGGCACUUCGCACUCGUUCAGUGGGUGCAGGAAGAGGGGCACGCGGUCUGGGCACAGGUGGCUGUACUGGCGGGAGAAGCUGUCCGCCACCUGCAGCAAGUGUUCCUCCUUGAGCGUGUUGCUUUGGUAGGAGAGGGGUAGCUUGGAGAUGGCGAUAGUGUCCUUGGUAAAGGUCCUGUGCCCGUAAGAGGGGUGGCAUUAGUCCGUGUGAGGCUACGCCUGGCACACAGGGAACCAUCAACCCACCUUAGCUGCCGUUGGCUCUAUCCUUUCCUCAUUUAAUCCUCACAGCUGCCUAGAAGCAUCAUCAUCCUGUGCACUUUUAAAUAGAAACGGGAACGGAGGCACAGAGGUUGAAUGACUCACCCAGGGUCACACGGCUAGUGAGGGGAAGAGAGGGGACUUGGACCAGGCCGAUUGAAAGCAGAGCCCUCCUUCAUAUCUGCCUCCCUCUAUGUCCGGUCCUGCCUCCCAGCCCUAGGGCCACCGUUCUGUCUGGCUCUUCUCUCACCCAGCCCUGGUCUGACCCUCAUCAGGGCCGCCAGGCCUGAAACCCCCACCCUGGCACGCACGAGAGCUUCUCCGGGAUGGCCAUCUCAGUGUCUGACAGCUUCCUCUCCAGGUCUCUGAGCAUCUCCUGUGUCAUGGGGGCUUCCUCCCUCCGCACCUCCAUCGGCCUCACCACCUUCUCGCCCCUCUCAGCCCGCACGGCCGCCUCCUCCCGCUCGGCCUCCUCCUCCUCCUCCACUUUCUCCUUCAGGACCUCCAUCCUGGCACGUCUCUGGCUGCCUAGAGGCGGAAUGUCUGUGGGAGGGAUAAAUGCACUCAGAAUGGCCCACUUCGGCCACCAAGACCACCUGUGUCUCUGGGAGGUGGUUUAGAGGGGGGACAAGCGAGCCCCUCUUAAACUUCUCUUCUAUUGGGGAGAGUCUUGCUUGGUGCUGGCAUGCCUGUAACACCUUUCUGACAUGUGCAGACCUCUCUUAAAAACAAAGACACAGCAGGCCACAGGUUGAAAGCUAUUGUCAAGGCCAGAGUAGGUCCUGGUCCAAACUUACUAAUGCUGCUUGCCAACCUUCCCUCCAUCCCUCUUUCCCUCUUCCCUCCAUUCUUUCUUUCUCUCUCCCUUCCUUCCUUCCUUUUCUUUUUUCUUCCUUCCUUCCUUCCUUCCCUUUCUUCUUUCUUUCUUUCUUUCUUUCUUUCUUUCUUUCUUUCUUUCUUUCUUUCUUCUGAAAGUACCUUCUCAUUAUGGCAAGCAACACUAAUACCAUAGGGGUUACAAUGGUAUUAUGAAGUUUCCUAUUAAGAUAGACUUAUUAACUCGGACAAGUGAAUUGGAAAAUUAUUCAUAACAGUAAGGUGAUAUGGAAUAUGAUGAAAGGAGAAAGAAGGAAGGAAAAAAAAAAGUAACAUCACCAAAUUCGGAGCUGAGGCACAGAGAAGGCAAGGGCAGGGCACCCGGCCAGGGGGCAGGUAUGUGGGGUGUGACAUAGCCUGUACUCUCCGGGCCAAGCCCUUUGUCAGCCCACAGGAUGGAGGUCUUUUGGGGAGCCAUAUUGAGAUGACAUUUGUGCUCAUGUGCCCUAGGGAAGCCCAUACCCGCAGCCACAAGGCAAAGCCUCACUGUAGUGGACCACUAGUUGCCUCCCCAAAGAUCCAGUCCCCUCUUCCAUAUAUGGCAGAACCCCAAUUUCACUGGUGGCAGCAAUGUGCUCAGUUUGAAAUGUUCAGUUCCCGGCCUCACUUGCAGCUGGGGGGUGGCCUCGGCGAUGUGAACCUGGUUCUGGCCACUGAGAUGUGAGUCCAAGUUGUCGGAUGGUAAAGUGCAGGGCCCAGAUGGCACGGACUGUUUGCCCUUCUCUUCUUCCUGCAUAAAGCAGGAGGUGGGACAGCCAAUGCCUGAUCGUGAGAUGACCACACAUGAGGACCAAAGCUGCCUGCUAAGGACAGCAGAGUGGAGAGACAGGGGGAUCUGGGGUCCCAAACGGAACCCUGGCGGCCCUGAGUGCCACCUCCAGACUUCCCGUCAUGUGAGAAAAUCCAGGCUCUGCUUAUGAAAGUGGCCAUUUCGGGUUCCUAUUACACCAGCCCAGCUGAUCCAAUGGCCUCCUGCCUCCUGACUCCAUCUCCAGUCUUUGGUAUUUGCAGUGCUCUACCUCAAACGUCCCGUUUCUUUAUGGCACACAGGGCAAAGGUCCAGAGGGGAGGGAAACCAACCCAAUGCCCAGGGUGUGGUGGAGUGGGAACAGGGGAGAAAAGAGCAGGGUCUCCCCAGAUUUGGGUGGAGCCAGGAUCCAGGGGGGUCAAAAGGGACCAGGAGGUAAAGGCUGGGCCCACCUCCCCACUCCAAUCCCUAUCUGGAGCCUCAGCUCCUUGGGGAGGCAAACUGACCGCCAGCCUGGCUAAACGGAGAACUUGGCUGUGCCAUCAGUUUCUGCUGGGGCCUUGGGCCACUCCCUGCCCGUUUCUAGGCCUCGUUUUCCCCUUCUGCAACAUGAAAGGAGAGACAUAUGUUUUCUGUCCCGUGCUGACAUUCUGUAGGACUCAGGACCCAGUAAUGCACCUGUUACUGGAGGUCAGCCCACUUGAGGCCCAGGUGGCCGACAUCACGGUGGAGGCCUGUGUCUAGCAGGCUCACUCAGGACCCCAGUUCUCUGCAGGCAAACCUCCCACUGUGCCUGCCAGCCCCGCAGCACAGCCCAAUGCUCAGAUCUGUUUGCCCCUUGGGCGCGAGAGUAUUCCUCCACAGGGAGGACAGUAAUAACCAUCACUAGGUGCUUACUGUGUACCCGAUACCUACUGUGUGCCAGGCACCGUGCUAAGGGCUUCCCAGAGAUAAUCCCACACAUCCUGCAAUGAGUCAGUGAGAUCCCAGAAAAUAUGUAUUGGUCUGUGCCUCAGUUCCUGGCACAGAGCUCCAGAAACGCUUGGAAUUUUCUGAGUGAUGAGAGCACAGGGAGCAUCUUUUGUUCUGACGAGGGGACUCUGGGUGGGCUGUGGAUGGGGCUGGUCGCCGCGAAGUCCAUGCUAUGCUUAGAAGCUCAGAAUAUUCAGCCCCACGACCCCCCACUUCUCUAAAGAGAGGAGAGCAGUUUGGAAAUGAAGUUAAUAAUUGAUGGUGCUAAAUGAGGAAGCCUCCAUAAAAUACCAGCCGGAGGGGGUUUGGAGAGUUGCCAGGUGGGUGAACCUAUCCACCUAUAUGACACCACCACCCCCACAGGGACGGAAGCUCCUGUGCCUAGGUCCCUUCCGGACCUCACCCUAUUACCUCUUCAUCUAGCUACUCAUCUGUAUCCUUUUUGGAUCCUUCAAUAAACUGAUGAGUGCAAGUAAGUGUUUCCCUGAGUUCUGUGAGCCAUUUGAGCAAAUUAAUCAAACCUGAGGAAGGCGUCAUGGGCACCAACCUCCAAUUUGUAACCAAGGGAGACAGAAGUUGUGGGUAAACCUAGGGACCUACUACUUGAGAUCGGUGUCUGAGGUGGACGGGCCAUCUUGUGGGCCUUAGCCCUGAAUCUGUGGGGUCUGAUUCUAUCUCCAGGUAGAUAGUGUCAGAAUUGAGUUACGUUGUAGGACACCCAGCUCACAGAGAAUUGCUUGGUGAGUCACACAUUUGGUGACCAGAAGUGUCAGGGGUGAAGUGUCCCAUGUAAGUAGUAAAGGAGAAACACAGGAUAUAGGACACUGAAUUGAGUUUUUCCAUUACGGACUCUAAGAAGCAGACAGUGCUAUGAUACCCACUUUGCAGAUGAAAAAAUUGAGUCCUAGAGAGGUUAAGUGCAGUGCCUAAGGUCACAGAGCUAGUAAGUAGCAGAUCUGGGGUUAGAGGCCAUGUAUUUCUGGCUUUGAAAGCCAGGCACUUAAGGGCCUACUGAGAUGGGAAAGUUCUAGAAGGGAUGAGGCGGGGGGAGUGGGAGAGGUAAGUAAAGAUAGAAAUGGGGAUAAGGCCAAGGUAUCUGUGGGCUGCAGAGGGUUACAACUGUGACAGAAACUGAGAUGGGCCCUGAGCCCAAGGUCACAGAACACCUUUAUCAGAGGUGGAGCUGAGCUAAAUACUCCCCAAACCAGACUGCCUCCUCAGCUACAGACCAGUGUGGGGAGGGCAGUCCCUGCCCAGAGGCCCUCCCCAACCCGCGCAGGCCCUUUUCUGCACCCGUCCCUGGCAGCAGCCUACACACACACACACACACACACACACACACACACACACACAUACACACACACCCCUUCCCCAGAAAGAUCAGGGCUGGAAGCCCCCCAAGCAGAAAAAGCCCCCUCCUACCACCACCCUACUUCUUACCCUGCUACCAGCUACCUCAGGUCCUGGGCUCCCUCCUCACCCCUCUGAGAACAGCCCGCACCAUCUGUUAGCCCAUCUCCAUGGUAACAGCUUUCGGAAGCUGAGGACAGGUUCUGGGAGAGGAGGCCUCUGGGAAAUGUAGUCUGUCACUGUCCCGGCCUCGGUCCGGAAGACCACCUGCUAUAGGUCCCUCAACGAGCGGCAGGCUGGAGCCAGUUCGUGCCAGUUUGCAAGAGCUGAUUGUUAAAAUUUCAGAAAUGUUUGCAAGCCCGUUGACAAACAGCCACGAUUACACACUAAAUUAGAAAAACUUGUAAAUAAAUAGGUUAUAUUAAAGCAAAGGUAAUUAACACUCAAAAUUCAUCACUUGCAAAUUAUUUUACUACCUUUCUCUAGCAUGUAUGUUCUUGGAGUUGUUUACUACUAUUGUAUCUCUAUAAUGGAAAUAGGCAAUGGUGAGCUCCUCUGUAUCUCUUCCCAGCUUCUCUUCAGUGAUGUCGUAUCAACGGCUUAAAAUUGGCCAUGGGGUUACUUACACCACAGAACCAGCCUGCCUAGCUGAGGCCUGGGUUCUAGUCCACCCUGGGCCUCUGACUUAGUGUCUAACUCAUGGGACAGGGAAAACUUAUCCAGAAGGUUAGUGGUCUAUGAAAAUUAAUUCUAAUUGCUUUCGAAUUCAGAAAAAAAAAAUGAAUAGACUAAUAAUAAGUAUAUAAUUAUGAGUCCACUCUGGAUUGUAUUCGUCUUUGUACCGAUGAGGUAAAAAAAAUAUAUUUUUACUCUUUUGUUAUUGGAGAAAGGAGCCCACAAAAGUUGUAAAGCACCCUGUGGGGUGUGGGGGGCCGCUUCUGGAGAAACGCUGUGCUGACAAGUUUACACAGUUGCUGCUACUGGGGGAAACAUAGCAAUAACCUCAAUUCUCAAUAAUAAAUCAUGAUUUUAAAUUCUGGCUGGAAUAUUAUGCAGUCACGAAAAAUAAAGUGUGAAGGAUAAAUUAAACUGUCGUGGGACCGUGUGCCCUGCAAUUACCCCUGAGGAAUCCGCCUGGGGCGAGGGCAGGCAGGGAGGAGCGAAAGGUAAACACAGGGUGUGUCAGGCUAGUCUCAUUUCUUUUGAUAUUUCUUUAUUCCUUUUUAUCCUCAUACCCACUCCAAUUAUCUGAUUCUUUUUUUUUUUAAAGUUUAUUCAUUUAUUUUGAGGGAGGGAGGGGGAGAGAGAGGGGGAGAGGGAGAAUCCCAAGCAGAGAGCCUGAUGCGGAGCUCGAUAAUGAACUGUGGGAUCAUGACCUGAGCUGAAAAUCAAGUGUCAGAAACGUAACUGACUGAGCCACCCAGGCGCCCCACCCCAUUCUCUGACCUUUAUAGGCAGCCAUUAGGAUACAUUUUUUUUGUUUCAAAAUGAGCAUUCUUUUGCACGUUGUUGUUUUUAACUCACGUAAGUGAUACGGUGUUACUACCUCCUCUGUUUCUUAUAUUAUUGCUAAAAACUGCCUUUUUAGAUCCAUCCAUGUGGCUGUGUGUCUGCUGUAGGGAUUCAUUCUAUUCUCCCUGUGAUGGACCCUACCUCCCCUUUGCCACCAGCUCCUUUCCACUACAAAUAAUGCCAUAAAUAAUGCCACACACCCGUCCUCGGUCGUGUCCCUUCUAGGCAUGUAAGAGUGUUCCUCUGGGGUCAAUAACCAGGAGCAGGAUUGCUGGAUAAUGAACAGCAGCACCCCAUUUACUCCAGGCCAUGAACUCUACACCCUACACAACCUCCACAAUGCCCCAGGAAGCCAGCAUCCAUAGUAUCCAGCUUCCUAUCAUGCGUCUGCCAGUUUAAUAGGGAUAUAAUGAGGUCCCUCUGUCAUCUUAAUGUGCAACUCUGUGAUCACUCAUGACUUUAAAGUUUGUUUUAAAUUUUAUUUUUGAGAGAAAGAGAGAGAGAGAGAGGGUGAGCAGGGCAAGGGCAGAGAGAGAGACACACACACAUACAGAAUCUGAAGCAGGCUCACGGUCUGAGCUGUCAGCACAGAGCCCGCCCCGGGGCUUGAACUCAUGAACUGUGAGAGCUCAUGACCCGAGCUGAAAUCGGACGCCAACCGACUGAGCCACCCAGGAGCCCCUUUUUAAAAAAAAAAAAAAAUUGGGGGGGGGCACCUGGGUGGCUCAGUCGGUUGAGCAUCCGACUUCAGCUCAGAUCAUGAUCUCUUGGUUUAUGGGUUCAAGCCCCGCAUUGGGCUCUGUGCUGACAGCUCAGAGCCUGGAGCCUGCUCGGAUUCUGUGUCUCCCGCUCUCUCUGCCCCUCCCCCACUCGUGCUCUGUCUCUCUCUCUCUCUCUCUCUCUCUCUCAAAAAAAUAAACAUUAAACAUUUUUUUAAUUUUUUUUAAUGUUUGUGGUCACUGAUGACUUUAAAUGUAUCUUCACAUGCUAAAUUCUUACUUUUAGAUAUUGUCUUCUCUGAAAUUGCCUUAUAAAACCUCAGCCCAUUUUUCUGUAUUAGGGAAGUAUCCUUGCUUUGAUUUGCAGGCCUUCCAGAUGUUAAUCUCUGGCUUCAGAUGUUGCAAAUACCUCGCCCUAUUCUGUCCCAUGCUGGCUAACAUCGCCUAUGGUGUCUUCCAUGGAACAACAACAAAAAAACUCCAUAAUUUUGAUGUACUUAAACUCACCAGGUUUUUGGUCUGAUGUUUCGUGCUUAUCGUUUUUUGUUUGAGAAGUCCUUCCUUGUCCUGAGGUCACAAAGCUAUUUUACUGCAUUAACUUUGUAGUUUUGCCAUUUUGUUUAGAACCUUUAUUCUGCCUGGAGCCCAUCUCUGGAUGAGGAGUUAGAUAUGGAUCCCGUUUUAUUUUUCUUCAUAUAAUAAGCCAGUUUUCCAACACCGUCAUCAGACCAUCUGUCCCUUACUGGUGAUGCCACUAGUAUUGUGUCUUAAGUCCCCCAGGUGUACAUAAGUCUGCUGCUGAGCCCUUCAUUCUCUUCCACUGGCCUUCUUGCCUAUCCCUGCUCAGACCCCAUGUUGGAUUUACCAUGAUGGCCUCGUAAUAUCUUUCUACCAAGUCUUCUUUCCAUGCCCUCUUUCACUAAGGGUGACUAGCUAUUUGAGGCCUAUAUGCCUCCAAAUGAAUUUUAGAGUACAUUUGUGGGAAGUCUAAACAAUCCUUUGGAAUCUAUUAGAACUGUAUUGUAUUCAUAGGUUAAUUUGUGAAGGACUUUUGUCUUUCGAUAUUAAGUUAUCCGUCUGGCACAGAGCCAGUAUGUCUUAUUUCCUGUACAUUUGUUAUAAUGUAAUGAAAAAUACAAGGAAUGAAGAAGCAGGGGCAGAACAGGAAGAACCAGCCAUGGAGGCAUGCUGGGGGACCCUCCUUGCAGCACACAGAUGGCCACUGCAGCCCAGGGCCUGAGAAGCUGGUGGCCCAAGCAAAGCUCUGGCUUAGUCACUUUCACGCUGGGCCGGGCGUCCGGGCACUGGGCUCUCCGCCAUAUCUCUUGGAAGCCUCAUCCAUUCCGUGGGGCAAUUACUGCUCUCCCUGCUUUAUGGGUUCAGUAGGUGAGGAAUUGGCCCAAGGCCAGUUGCAGAGGAAGAAUUUAGUCCAGACAGGCUGACCUCAGACUUUGUGCUUUUAAUCAUGGUGCUGUCUACCUCCUAGUUUGCUACUGGAUCGCGUGGUGAUAGUGGAACCCCAUCCAUCCUCACCGGGCCUUGGGGUGCCUUUUGGCCAUCACUCCACCUGGCCUUAGUACAUGCUCAGCUGGACACUCAGAGUCACUUUUGCAGUGACCCCAAGUAAUGACGGACCCCGGCCCCCCUGCCCCUGCCUGGCCCUGUGGGAGACAGCCAGCUGGAAAAGGAACACAUCCCUGCCAUCGACCACGUCUUCCCAUCUUCCCUCUCCAGCUGCACCAGGAAACCCCGCGCGUUUGGGACUCGUGGUUUGGCUGCCCCCACGUCCGACUGGGAAAGCCAGAGCCCGGGGUUUCCGCUGAGACUCAGGGACCAGGACUGAGGCAAUAAUUCUUGAACCCAGGAAAUGCUCUAGGAGGAAGCAUCAGCAACCCAGAGAAGCCUCGCUCUGCAUCAGCCCAGCUUGGAGAAUAGCCUUGGGCAGGUUGCUAGCCGUCUCCCGGCCUCCAUUUUCUCCUCCCCACACAGGGCUGGUCUACUCGGCAGAGCUGUAGAAGGAAUCUGGAAGGGAUUUUUAACGUUCACACCUCUCCUAUUUUACACACAGGUCGCAAAGGUUCCCGUUUCACACAAGGGUUCCACCUGAUCUUUCUGUGAGCCUCAGGGGUCUUAAUUCCUGCUGUGUCUGUACCCGGCACUUUACUUUUGUCCCUUCACUUAAUGCUCUCAAGUCAGGGCAAGAAUUUGAUGAUUUCCGUUCUAUGGAUGGGGCACCUGAGGCUCAGAGAGGUGAGGCGACACACCCAACAUCACACAGCCCCUAAGUGGCAGAGGCAGGCCUGUCAGACAAUGAAGCAGCCGUGGAAUACAAAGGUUUGUCCUCAGAAACUCUGAGACUUUGAGGUAAGAGGGCCACGACCUUCAGCGUGAGAAAUUGGUGUCAGUGAAAGACAGUAAGUCCCCAGACCCACCAAGUUUGUCCACAAAAACUGAUAUACUGUGGCCCGGCUGAUGCAAGGUCCACACCCUAGAAUUUCCCUUCCAGGAACACAGCGACUUGCAUAAAGCGAGGGCCCCUGCCUUCCUGUCUUUCAUCUGUUUGUUGGGCGGGAGGAGGGAGAAGGGAGGGCGUCCACUCAGCAUAGUCAUCGGGGAGCAGGAGAUGGCUGGCGGCCCAGAGGCUGUGGGGGACGGUCUGAUAACAAUAGCUUCUCACCUACAGCAGGUGCUUGACCUUGGCCAAGCCCACUGGGGAGGGUGGGGGUGAGUAGGGAAGGUGAGAUGUCCCCAGUGGUUCGGAACUCAAGGCUAGACUUGGGGCGUGAUCGUGGGCAGUGGGGCGGGCCAGGGGGCUGCUGUCUUUCUGUCCCCUCCACUCUUGUUUUCUUUCUUUGUGUUGGCUUAUCUGUUAAUUCCCUCUCUCUAGCUGGCUUUCUCUCUCUCUUAUCUCUGCCUCUUUUGUUUCCUACUGAGGAAACCAGAACAGUUGUGAAAUGGAGGCCCAGCCACUGGAGGUGACGUACCCAAGCCGGGCCUGGCCUGAGACACUCCCCUGGCUCCGAACCGUGCAGGCUGAUGCCAAACUCAUACAUCCAUCUAUUCAGACAACAGAUAUUUAUUUGGGGCCUGAAACGUGCCAGGCUCGGGCUGGGCUGAACCGGUGAAUGAGGCUGAUGGACCUGCUUGAUAGGAGCUCAGGUUCUGGGGGCAAUGCCUGCCCUCUCUCUGCUCAGCCCAGCCCUCUCCCCUGCCCUGCCCCUCGGCCCUCAGGUGUGCGGAGCUCUGGACCAUCUGCCUUCCACCCCACUAUGACAGCAGAUCAGAGGUCAGGCCACACGUGUGGCGGUCAGGGUGGGGAGGGGAGCCUGCUUAUGAUAUCACACCCACUGUUGAGUAAGUGGCAUCCUCUGAAAUCGGUGUCCCCAGACAGCUGGAGGGUGGGCGGCCCCCGGUGUCAGGGGCUCCUGCUUAUCUAUCCAUAGAUAGACCCAAACCUCUAGUGCACAACUGUCCAAGUGCCUGAGAACAGGCAGCCAGAGGGUGGGGUUGUGAGAGGGCGGUGGUAAGAGGGAGAAGAGGAGAGGCUGGGACUCCUUCAAGGGGCAAUUCUGAUAACAGAGUCCCCUGUGACUAAAACCAGAGGUGGCCAAUGGCAGAGAUGAGCUGUUUUGCUCGGUAGGCAGGAGGUGCAGGUACAGGUACAGGUGAGGGCACUGCUCUAUGCUGGCAGCGGUCUUCAGACUCUCGCAAUCCUGGAUUUGUGGACCCCAGGACCCACAGAAGUAUCUGGAUGGAACCACUGAGGCCAGGUGGUCCAAACUGGCCCCCAUCACCUCCCUUCCCCAGCCACAUUGUACAAACAUAGAAACUGAAGGCCAGGAGGAGGCAAGGAGCAGCCUGAGUUCACAGAGGGAGUCAGAGCCGAGUCCACAAUGUGCGGCCGGCUCCCAGCCUGACCCCACGGAGGCCCCCUAUUCUUGAGACGCGGUGUGGACCUGGUCAAUUCUGGCGGUGCCAGAAGAGGAGGCCACGGCAGUCCGGCUGGGGAAGUAGAGCACGGCGAACCAGCAGAAGAUGAAGACACCUGUCAGGAAGGAGAAGGACUGGAUGAGCUUGGGGUCGGACCGGCAGGGCGCUGGGCAGCCUGGCUGGCGGCCGUCCGGGGGAGAAAUCUCUCCACUGCAAAAGCUCAAGAACGUAUGGAAAAAUCAGGCAAAAAUGAAGCCAACCCCUGAAAGAGAACCAAAUGGAAAUCUUGGAAAUGAAAAACGGAGGCCAUGAAAUCACGUAUGCGUACAUCUAUCACAGAAAAGAAAGAGCAGGAUAAAGGCAUUUUCAGACCUACAGAACAGCCACCACUAUAGUGACCUUCCUCUACCCCCCUCCACGAAGGAUGAUUACAGGACGCACCCCAGCAGGAAGAAGGGGGAAGGUGGGAGCUAUCAGAAGUGUAGCAAGUACAGACAUUGAUAGAAAAGUUAAAACUUUGUGUGUGCUUAAAAGGAAUUUACACCGCAAGUUUUAACCACGAUAAACUAUUGAGAAGCGUUCAAGGGCAGCUGAAGUGUAGGGACUGUUGCAUUUGGGAGGAAGAGAGAUGGACUGAGACCCGCACACUCAGCUGAGACAACUCGGUAGGGUGAAGCGUUCAGGCGGAAAUAUUAAGAGCAACCUCCAGAAGAAUAAUGAUAUAAUCUAGUUUCAAGGUGUGUCCCUCCCCAGCCCCAGAUGUUCCAGAUGUGGGCUCCUGUUUCUUCCCCCGGGGAUCGUCUCAGAGAGCCUGCUGUUACUGACAGAGUCCGCACAGACCGAAGGCCUACUGUGUCCCCCACAAGUACUGUCUCAGGUACUCAUUAUGAAGUCUGGUGAGAUGCCUGGGUGGCUCGGUCAGUCAAGCAUCUGACUUUGGCUCAGGUCAUGAUCUCACGGUUCAUGGGUUCGAGCCCCGAGUUGGGCUCUGUACUGUCAGCAUGGAGCCCACUUCGGAUCCUUGGUCUCCCUCUCUCUCUGCCCCUCCACUGCUUGUGUGUGUUCUCUCUCUCUCUCUCACUCUCUCCCUCAAAAAUAAGUAAACAUUUAAAAAACUUUAAAAAAUAAGAUGGGGGCGCCUGGGUGGCUCAGUCGGUUAAGCAUCUGACUUCUGCUCAAGUCACGAUCUCGUGGUCUGUGCGUUUGAGCCCCACGUCGGGCUCUGUGCUGACAGCUCAGAGCCUGCUUGGGAUUCUCUCUCUCUCCUCUCUGCACGUCCCCUGUACUGUCUUGCUCUUUGUCUCAAAAAUAAAUACAUUAAUUAUUUACCAAGCUGUGUGUAUGGCACAGUGUGAGGAGCGAGGAGGAUGGGGGGACCGUCACCCACACCCCGGACGCCUUCUCCUCUGCUGGGAAACCAGAGGGAGGAUGAGGUGGGGAGCAAGGAGCACACCUACCCAUCGUUUCCUCCGCUAAUCACUUCCUUCUGCCAGCACAACUCCUUACAGACUGUCCAUGUCAUGUGGCCAUCACAUCACGUGACCCUGCCCUACAGGUCACAGCUGACCGGACCAAGAUGGCUCAGUCUGAUCCUUGACUCUCCUAAAAACACGGACCGGACUGAAUCAGAGCACCCUCCCUAGACAGAGGUCACGGACGGUGGAAGAAGCCGUCUGCGAGCCUGGGUAGGAAGGGACAGAAGGGACAGAGGACAGAAGGGACAGACAGAAGAUGAGAGACUACACGCAGCUCCAGACAAAAAGACGGAGGCGGUAUCUGCUUUGGUUUGGGUGGCUUUUCCUGACUCUGGUACCUGUUCCCACGAGGCCGGUCAGCCUUCCCGUCCUGGGGUCCUUGGGAGAGCCCUUGAUUUGAGCCAGCCUGAGUGGAAUCCUGUUUCUCGCCGUCUGCCUCCUCCCCGUGCCCCCAAAGCACCCCCUUGCAGGUGAGGCAACCCGCCACCGCCCUGGCCCGGAAGCCUCACCUUGCAGGGAGUUGAACAGCGCGAAGACAUAGAUGGUGGAUCGGCCCAGGGGCGUGAGGAUGGCCAGCCACCAGGUCACACCCACCAGGCUCGAGAGGCCCAGCACGGUG